rnacentral:rRNA from 1 species
AUUGAACGCUGGCGGCAGGCCUAACACAUGCAAGUCGAACGAGUGGCGGACGGGUGAGUCAUGUCUGGGCCCCUGCCUGAUGGCGGGGGAUAACUACUGGACACGGUAGCUAAUACCGCAUACCUUCCGAUGUGCCCAGAUGGGAUUAGCUUGUUGGUGGGGUAACGGCUCACCAAGGCGACGAUCCCUAGCUGGUCUGAGAGGAUGACCAGCCACACUGGAACGGAGAAACGGUCCAGACUCCUACGGGAGGCAGCAGUGGGGAAUAUUGCACAAUGGGCGCAAGCCUGAUGCAGCCAUGCCGCGUGUAUGAAGAAGGCCUUCGGGUUGUAAAGUACUUUCAGCGGGGAGGCGUUACCCGCAGAAGAAGCACCGGCUAACUCCGUGCCAGCCGCCGCGGUAAUUC